rnacentral:lncRNA from 1 species
GGGGCCUGCGUGGGGCUCGGGGCGCACGUGUCGCGGGAAAUGGAGUGGACACCGGGGGCUUCAGGGGAAGACAUCCAAACGACCGGGAGUCACGCGUGGACUCUUUCGCGCGAGGUUACCAAGCAUGUCCUGAAGAUGAAGAUACUCUCAGCCUAACGUCUCCAAGCAAAUAUUGAUUCAGCAGUAUCCCCAGGCAAAGCCACACCAUAUAUCAGUGAACAGAGAAACAACUGCCCUUCUCCGGGCCCCUGUCUGAGAAGCUGGAGCAUCAGCCCUGGAGCUCUCCGGAGCAGUUUCCUUGCUCACUGUCCCCAGCUGAACACAGCCGCAUGCAGAGGUCCAAAGCACGUAAACAGGAUACCCACCCUGCAUUAUCUUAUAUUUUAAGUCAAUAUGAAGAUGGACAUUCUACCCCUGAGACCAAUUUCGAUCAAAUACUUUUGUCAAUAAAAAGAUACUAAUGAAAAAAAAAAAAAAAAAA